ensembl:lncRNA
CGAGGCGGGGCUUCCCUCCGCUUCGUGCUGUCCUUUCCCCUGCGGCCUCUGCUCUGGCGGGAGUACCCCGGCCGAGCUCCCAGACACGUGCGGAGGGGGACAGGCAUGGGCUUUGGACAGAGGCAGCACCAGAUGCCUUUACCUGAGAGAGAAAUCUGCCUCCAUCAGGACCUCAGAUGUCUGACAGCCCUAUGUGACACCAGGAUAGGUAAUAUAGUCCCUUUUGUUGGGAUAUUCCUGUAAGUAAACUGCAGGACAUGUGGUGCUUUGCAACACUGACAACAUUUACUGCGUGUUGGUGAUGUGCCAGAAUUGUAAACUCAUUCUACAUAUCUUAAUCCUCUCAUCAGGCCUGCAAGGUACUGCUGUUAUUUGCCCAAGGUCACACAGUGGGUCGGAACUACUGUGGUGUUAAUUUAAUCUAGUUCCAAAGCUAGUGUUUGAUUUGGAACUUUUAAGUACGGUGCCUACAGGUCUUUCCAACUAAUUCUAAUGAAUAUCUGCUGACUUUUUCAAUCAUCAAACUCAUUCAGAUUAAGGAUUAAUAUCUUUGAUGAACUACUUAAGUGCCAGUUUCUUCUAGUUUCUUAAAACCAUUCCAAAUGCCAAAGACCUUCUUUCAGUCUAUCAGCAUCUUGGCCACUAUUGCUGAAGCGUGAGGAGGCUUCCUUUUGUUCUUAGCAUACAAAGAACAUAUAGAGACAAACCGUUAGCCUUGCUUUUAGCAUCCAUCUACUUCAUUCCUCCUGUCAUACCGCCUCUGAAUCUCAGGUUUUUUAAAAAUGCCCCUCUGGAAGGCCUCAGUGGGUCACAUUCCCACACCCAGACUUGCCCUAUGAUAGUGUUUGUCACAUUUUAUUAAAAUUUUUCAGUGCUGGCCCUACUAAACUAUGGGUUCAGUGAGGGUCAGAAUAAGAAUUCUGAGACCGUAAAACAUUCCUGAAAUAUUUGCCUUUUUUUUUUUUUUUUUUUUUUAAGAGAAAGAAUGUGGUGGGAAGCGGGAGAGAGAGAAUCUUAAGCAGGCUCCAGGCCUCUGCAGAUCCCGAUGUUGGACUCCAUGUCACCAGCCUGAGAUCAUGACCUGAAUGAAGAGUUGGACCUUCAACCACCUAAUGAUCCAACCAGGUGCUCCAAAGAUUACUUUUUUAAGGUUGGGGUAGAGUAGGGUUCCCAUUUUAAUUUUACAUGCAUAGUAGUACAACUGCUAAAUUAAGGGCAUAAAGACUUUAUAGAUACAUAUUAUAAACCUUGUUACAAAUAAUACAACACGGAAAAGUUAUUCCAAGAUUAUUUCAACAAUAUAUCAAGUAUAAUCUCCCUACAUGCUAAAAUAGCAUUUGUUAAAAUUGCUGAGGAUCAACAUUCCUAACCUAUUAAAAGUGUCUUACCCAAAAGGCUGUGUGAUGCUUAAUGAAGAAACCCUAGAAAUGAUCCCAUUAAAAAAAGAGAAAAGAGGGGCACCUGGGUGGUUCAGUUUUUAAUCAACUGCCUUUGGCUCAGGUCAUGAUCCCAGGGUCCUGGGAGGAGCCUGCUUCUCCUUCUCCCACUCGCCCUGCUUGUGUCUCUCUGUCCAAUAAAUACAUAAAAUCUUUUUAAAAAAAAAAAAGA